UACGAAGGGGGCGUAGCGUUGCUCGGAAUCACUGGGCGUAAAGGGUGCGUAGGCGGGUUCUUUAAGUCAGGGGUGAAAUCCGUGGAGCUCAACCUCCAGAACUGCCUUGAUACUGAAGAUCUUGAGUUCGGGAGAGGUGAGUGGAACUGCGAGUGUAGAGGUGAAAUUCGUAGAUAUUCGCAAGAACACCGAGUGGCGGAAGGCGGAGCUCGACUGGCCCCGUAGUACCGUGACGACUGAGGGUGCGGAA
rnacentral:rRNA from 1 species